GACGAACGCUGGCGGCGUGCCUAAUACAUGCAAGUCGAACGCUGAAGGAGGAGCUUGCUUCUCCGGAUGAGUUGCGAACGGGUGAGUAACGCGUAGGUAACCUGCCUGGUAGCGGGGGAUAACUAUUGGAAACGAUAGCUAAUACCGCAUAACAGUAGAUGUUGCAUGACAUUUGCUUAAAAGGUGCAAUUGCAUCACUACCAGAUGGACCUGCGUUGUAUUAGCUAGUUGGUGAGGUAACGGCUCACCAAGGCGACGAUACAUAGCCGACCUGAGAGGGGGAUCGGCGACACUGGGACUGGGACACGGCCCAGACGCCUACGGGAGGCAGCAGUAGGGAAUCUUCGGCAAUGGACGGAAGUCUGACCGAGCAACGCCGCGUGAGUGAAGAAGGUUUUCGGGUCGUAAAGCUCUGUUGUAAGGGAAGAACGAGUGUGAGAGUGGAAAGUUCACACUGUGACGGUAUCUGACCAGAAAGGGACGGCUAACUACGUG
rnacentral:rRNA from 1 species